GAACCCAAAUAUGCCCCGGCACCCCCCAAAGAUUCAAACAAAACAAAAGAUGUCAAACCUCGAAGAAAUAAAAUAUUUAAGUCUAGAAACAAGGUGGAGGAUGAGGAGGAAGAGGAAAAGGAGACAUCUAGAAUUCCUUCAGAAGACACAAGUGUGAGUGAGGAGGCUCCAGUGCUACAACCUGAGGGUGAUCUUGCUCCAGAUUCUCAGGAAGGAUCUGUCAGCAUAGAGGAUAAGGACAAUGCCUUUGGAUUUGAUGAAAUGGAGGUGGAUGAAACGCCUGAAAACAUACCAGAGAUAGCAGAGAGUGACACAUUUGAAGAAAUCCCAGUUAAACUCAAGCGCGUUGAAGAAGUGCAGAAAGAGGACAAUGGGGACAGCCAGUCUUCAGAGGGAGAACUUGAGAAUUCACAAGAAAUACCAAGUUCCCAGGAGUCAAACGAGGAGUUCAAGCAACCCAAAAGAGAAAGAAAAAUAUUCAAAUCUAAGAAUACCAGGAUGGCUCAAAAAAAAGUGUCGCCCAGUCCAAAGAAGUCUCCAGCAAAGGCGAUUUACAAUGUGCGAUCCUGGCAGGAUGAUUUUGAUGAAGAGGAACGGAACAAGAAGAACGCAGGGGAGGAAAAUGGAGCUCAGACUAGUGGUCCCCCAAAACUGACCCGCUUCUCAACUUGGCCUAAUUCAGGACCUAAAGAAAAGCCCCCUGAGGAGCCUCCGAAGCUGACCCGGGCUGUCCACUGGCCAGACCGAGAGGGAGAUGAGGCGUAUACCUCAGUUCACAUCAAUAAAGAGCACAAACAGUUGUACACUGUGGUGAAGAAUGUGAAGGAGGCCCACGAAUGCCAGGAGCACGGAGAGACCCAGGAGUUUGCUGACGAUGUCGAGUACCUGCUGUCAGGGAUCCAGGAAGGGGAGCCCAUGUCUACAAGAUGUCUCAGUUGUAUUGGCCUAGCCCAAAAAAGUAUCCUGCCAGCAUUCCGAAUGCACCUGAGAGCCCAUGGAACUGUGGCCAAGAUAUUUGGACACCUGAAGGAUGCUGUGACAGAUCCAAGUUUGUCCCUGUGUACAGCCUUGCUGAUGUUCAUGUUGAGUCGAGACCGGCUGAACAUGGACCUGGAUCGACAGAGUUUAGAUCUGAUGCUGAAGCUGCUGGCAGUGGAUUACCAAGAGGAGCAGAGCGCCACCGUGAUGGGCAAGAGGACCCUGAACCGCAACAAAGACCGCGCCCGAGAGGUGUACGAACAGUGGAAGGCUGAGGGUGGGGCUACUAACCAGCCCGAAAUUGAGGAUGUCUCAACUGGAAAUCUUGCCAUGGAAUCUCUGCUAAGCCUGACCUCCCGUAGAGCAGGAGAAUGGUUCAAGGAAGAGUUGAGGACAUUGGGAGCACUGGACCACAUUGUGGACACAGUGUGUUCAUGUAUCGAAGCCUUGGGAGAUGAUACAACAUUGGUGACAGACAGUAUGUUGGAGAACAUGAAGAAGAUUGACAGGUGUCUGAGAGUGCUGGAAAAUGUAUCUUUUGUGAACACUGAUAAUCAACUCUAUUUGAUAUCGUACAAGGCAGGAAUCCUUGUAGCUUCAUUAUGCAGGGCCCUUGAUCUGUGUGAGAAAUGCUUUCCCGUGUAUCCCAUCAACAGUUCAGAUGACAAAGAGUCGACCGGCUACGUCAUCUACAGCCUGGUGUUGGCAGUGCUGAGGGUCCUCAUCAACAUCACUCACGAAAAUGAGUUUGGAUGCACCAAAGUGGGAGACCAGACAGACUUCAUCAAAACAGCUUUAACCUGUAUCCUAGACACUCCUCGCCAUGUCCCAAUAGACAUGAGAUUCGACAUGCUUGUUCUGAGCUUGGGUCUCCUGAUUAAUAUGGUGGAGCAUUGUGGUGUAAACAAGCGCAAACUUGUGGAGGCAGAGACCUGCAGGUCUUAUGAAGUUACUUCAGAUAAUUCUACAUCUCAAGUUCCUGCUACUAAGGCUCUGUGUGAGGUGUUUAGCACUCGGUUUGAAAUAGCUAAAACCAUGGAAGAGCAAGACUUUGGUGAGCCCUCCACACCUAAAGCAUCGCCCAACAAGAGUGGAGAGUGGAAGGAGUCGGACUCUGGCAUCGAGUGGGUGGUGUCGUCUGCCAAAAAGGAGAAGGAGGACAGUAACGACACCAGUCGCGUGCAGCCCCCAGAGAACGACAAGCUAGAUAAUCUAGACGAUGAGGAAACCUUUACAAAAGCUUUACAUCGGGCUGGUAAGCACAUGGAGAACAGCAUAAUAGCAUCGUAUGUUGCUCUACUGUUGGGCUGUCUCAUACAGGAUAACACUAUGUAUGUCAGCCAAGUCAAGGAACAUUUAGCAUCUGGGAGUUUUGAAGAUCUUAUCACAAUCCUGAAGAAAUUCUUAGGUUUUAUGAAUUUAACGCGUGCAAUUGGAAGCACAGGGGGCAAGUCCAUAGCUCAUGUCAUAGAAGUUCUGGAGGGCUGCUAACAGGAAACAGAGUUAUACACUUAGUGACCGAAACCACUACUGCAAGAAAUAACAGGAAACAUUACAUCGUCAGUUUGAAUAAAACCACGAACCUUAAUUUUCCAAAGCCACCGUAUUAUUGAACUUCUGAAAGAUAUAAAGAGAAGAUUGUUUAUAAGGAGACAUUAAUCUUUUUAGUUUGUUUACAUAAUGCAACUUGAAUCUUUUAAAGAUGUGUGAAUGUAUGGGAAAGAUACUAUAGUAUUCCAUUCUAGAAAAGCUGGACAGUGUCAACUUAUAUUUUUGUAUGGUUUAAAAUUUGUAUUUUUCUGAGAGGAAAACCUGGAGCAAUAGACAUUUCAUGUUUGUCAAACUCCAUCAUUUUUAUCAUUUGAUUCUUUUUUUGUCGGUAGUUUUAGCUGAAUCAUGUGUGAAUGAUAAAUUAGGAUGUCACACUGAUGAAAUCAUAGUGCACAUUACCUAAAGGUCUGGAAGGGAUCGAGCGAAUCAUUUAGCAGAUUAUUUUAUCUGGUGUUAACAUUGUAAUGAGGUAUUGUGGAUUUUAUGAAUUUUUUUCACUGCAUCAUAAAGGAUGGAAAUUAUCUGAAAAAAAAAAUGCAUGUACUGUAUAUGUGUACAUUGUUAAUAAAUACAAAUCAACGC
rnacentral:misc_RNA from 1 species